rnacentral:lncRNA from 1 species
CGUUUUUCAUUAAGUGGAAAUGAUCGUAGAAAGUACACGGAAACAACAAGCCAAAGGACAUCUCUCUCACACACACGUACGACACGGACGUACAUACGGAGAGAUUUUUUAUUCAGUAUACGACGUAGCAGUAUAUAUAGUAGACAACUCAUCAUCACCCGUAGAUAGAUAGAGACUCAAGCAUGGUCGUCGUCGAUGCUCCGGCGCCGACGACGGCGGCGGAAUGGAUCAUCGAUCGACGAUCAUCAGGUCGUCGUUUCGGUUUAGCUCACCCUGGAGCAGUCGGUGGAGGUGCUGAUGGUGUAGGGGAUGCUGACGCCGCACUUGGAGGGGAUGCUGGCGGCCUUGCCGACGUUGAGGCCGCGGAUGCCACGGGCGGCGUUCUUGAGGCAGUUGCAGGCGGCGCGCCUGUCGGCGGUGGUGCGGGCGGCGGAGUUGAGGCUCCUGACGCCGCUGCAGCAGCCUGCGGAGGGUCCAGAGCCCUGGCCGCGGGCGUAGGACAGGCAGGGCCCGAUGGCGGAGCUCACCUGACCGCAUGUCACGGCGGCCUCCGAGGUCGUCGCCGCCAGCACCACCGCCGCCACGACGGCGAUCGCCACAGCAAGCUUCAUGCUGCGAGCCAUGUCGAUCUCGAUCGACCUCCUGUGAUAUAUGUGCUGAUGCUCGUAGGUGACUGAUAGCUUUUGGGAUGCAGUGAGUGAGCAAGUGCUAGCUGGUGAGGAGAUUGCAAUGGAAUGUUGCUCCUUAAAUAGGCAGGCUUUGUGAUCGAUGUGUGAGCUAGCUAGCGAUUGCUGAUGAGUGAUGUGCAUGCAUGGGAUGGGUGUGCAUGCUGUUUCAGUCGGUGGAUGCAUGCAUAUGCGUAUAUGUCCAUGGAUCGAUGGUAUCUCUCGCCAUGCAUCGAAGUUAACUGCUGGGGAGGAGGUGGUUGGGUGUUGAGGGAGGAGGGCAGAUGCUUGUUUAGUUGUUGUAAUACCCGAUUUUAAGGACAAAACCAGAUAUGCACCAUAUGUGAGUUUUAAAAGCCAAAUCUCACAUAUAGCUACAAAUAAGGGGUAAUAUCAAAAGACAAUGCAAAAAUUAUAUAACGUACAUAAUAUAAAAGAGAUAACCUUUGAUAGCAAACAACGGAUAGACAACUCCAAACUCCGGGUAUUAACUUCUCUCUACAGGAUCCAACUGACUGGUUGAUCACAAGCCUAAACUUCUCCUGAGGUUUGGGGGAAAUAGCAAGAGUGAGUCCAUGUCAAACUCCACAAGUAUAGCAACUAGAUUGUAUAGCUCCCACAAUCUCAUGAUCAAUGUGACAUAAAUAAUGUAAAGCAUUAAACAAUAAGCAAUGAGCAUAUUUAACACACAAGAUUCAUCACCCUUAAUGUAGAUGUCCCCAAGGCCGUUCCUGACCGUGAGCUCGGCUAGUAUACUAGUUUUAACACUCUGCAGAGGUUGCACAUCUUUACCCAUGAGUCAUGAUUUACCCUUUCGCCCGAGGUGAUCAGCCUCUUAACCCACUUCCAAGGAAGGUCGGCAGGGAUCACUAUGAAGCCUUUCAAAAGUUCGUCUAACAUGUUAGGGCCGCAAGGUUUCCUUUGCGAGCAGAUAUAGAUACCCCCCUUCCGAAUGGCACAAUGACGCGCAGCCUAUACACAUAGGGACAGGGGCUCGCACUAUACCCGUGUCGGUUCAGCCCCUCCGCCCUUUCGGGUAACCUCUAACAAGCUAGAAAAGGUCUUCAUACUGAGCUAAAGCCAGAGCCAUUAUAGCCCUCAUGGUUGCACUGUUAUCCCGGGUGAUCACGUACAGACAAAUCAUCAAGUUGUUAAAAAGUCAUUUUUACCAUUUAUUACUUAACAUUAAUCUAGUCACAGGAUCAUGGUCACAGAAAUAAAAUCCAAAUGCUAUACUUGCCUCAAUCCAAUUGCUCUUGCUUAUCCUUUUGGUCCUGCUGGUCUCACUUGUUGCCAAAGCUUUGAUCUUGAUCACCGAAACUGCUCUCCGUCUAAACUCGAUCAUCGAUCAUCAACACACAAACAAUCGGACACAACAUACACGUAGCAAACAAGGCUAUAAUUAGAACAGUACACCAAUCAUAUAAAAACAAUAUGAAAAAUUUGUAAAAUAAUUCUACGCAUCGCUACGAUCUCACAGACGUAAAGAUGACGAAAAUCGGAGUUAAAACGGAAAAGAUAUGGAUUUUCUAAGAUUUUAUAUAGAAAAGUAAUUAAUUAAUUAAGGUCACGAAAUUAAAAGGUUUCAAACUGAGUGAACAAUAUUACUAACAUGUAGUGCUCGUGAUUACGAACCUAACACAAUUUCAAUGGACAAAACGGAGUUAAAACAGAGAUGAUAUGGCCUAAAUAAACUAGCGUAUUUUCUUUGUAUUUUUAGGUUUGUUUUUCUAAAGGAAAACGGCAAUAAAACAUGUCUAUGUUAUAACGACGUCAUCAAGCUAGCCAGCAACGUUUAUUCGCAGAUAUAUGUUAGACAUGUACAUCCCUAGAUCGAUUGCUGCGCAGAUAGAAACAUCGCCGGGCGAAACAAAUCAGUGCAUGCACUUGUAGAGGCUUUGUGAAAUUUCUCACACAGGAAUCGACAUAUUAAAGAUGCAAAGUUACCUCUUAUGGUGAUUAUAAGAUUCAAUAGGACAUGCUUGCCGAACGAUGGGUCAGUGGCCACGUCGUCAAGAACAGGUUGAUCUACGGCAACACCUUCUACUCCCGUGCUCUGUUGCUUGCUACUCUUCACGUGGCCAGCGAUUUGGUCUUCUGCUUCUUUGGUCCACAAUCACGAUGGUUCACCGGAACAUGGCAAGCAGCUCUGGCAAGCAGGACGUGGCAAGAGCAGAGCGGCGGCCGUAACAUGGCAAGGGCAGCAUCUAUCUAGGCAUGGCCGACGGCGGCGGCUCUCAAGGGUUUUAAGGACGUAAACACUCUAGACGAAUAUGACGUGUAUAUAUACGUGCGGUCUAGAUCAAGUUUGAUUAGGGUUAGAACUUAUUAUUUUUGGAAUUAAUUAUUUUCAUGGAUAAAAUAAUUAUAGAAAAGUCCAGAAUUAUUAUUUAAACUAUGAAAAAUAUUCUAAAAGCUCUGAAAAUUCGGAGAAAAUUCUCAGAGACAUUAUGGAAUAUGAGGAACUCAAAUAACGUAUUUGGACCUCAUGAUAAGAUAAUUUGGAGCAUCUAAAAAUUAGAUUUAUGCUCAUAGAAAAGUGAGAAUAGAAGAUGGAAAAAUUCCCGAAAAGUUUGUAGAGAUUGCUUGAUGGACGAGGAACUAAAAGAAGUGCUUUGAGUGACAAAGAAAAGAUUUUAGGAAGCUCCUAAUAAAAAAUUGAGCUGAGAAACCAAAGAAUUUGGUUAUAGAUAAAGAUAAAGACGUACUGGUCAAGGAAGAUCUACUAAACGCAUUUUAAAACUUUGCUCACUCAACACAUAAAGGAGCAACAAGUCAACAUCACAUCAAAACAUAUGCACCAGCAUGUAUGCACAACAAUAUUGCUAAGGCUUAUGAUAAAUUUUAAUUUAAUGAAAAUUAUUAUUUUCCUUAUAUUUUCGUGAGCACAAAAUACAAAACUGAAUAAAUUUUCAUCUAUUUUGAAAAGAGCAAAAUUUAGGGUGUUACAGUUGUCAAAAUUUUUUAAAAUUCUCAAUCAAAUUAAAUCUUGGGACACAAUGUAUCAAAUAUUAAAUAUAGAUAAAAAUUAAUUAAUUAUAUAGUUUGUAUAUAAUUUGCGAGAUAAAUUUUGUAAACCUAGUUAAUCUAUAAUUAAACAAAAAUUAUUAAAUAUAAACGGUGCUAUAGUAACUAGAUCCAAAAAUUUUCACCAACUAAGGGCUUGUACAACGAUGGGCGCUUAUGAUCAGGUAUUGGCCGUUAAAUAGUUUUUUUGCCACACGGUGGAGUCCUGAGCGGGCGCUUAAAAAUAGAUUUGCCGCUCCGUAAAGCAUCGACGCCUAGACCGGCUCCUUGCUUGAUACUGGUGUUUGCAUGCGACGUAACGGUCACAACUUAAGCGCCUUCAAAUACGUGUUGUGUUGUAGAUUAAGGUUAUAAAGAGACGCUUAGUUACAAAAGUAUUUUCUCUUUCCAUCUAAGCGCCUUUUGCAUUGUACGUGCUCUAAACAAGGCCACAGAUACAGACAUACAGUGGUUAGCUGAGGCAGAGUGAAAUCAUUAGCAGCAAACAUAUAAUAAAUAGCAGCCGCCUAGCACGACUUAGCGCCACUUAAGUUUUGUUUAGUUACGCUCGAAAUCCAAAAACUUUUCAAGGUUCUCUUCACGUCGAAUUUAGAGACACAUACAUGUAGCACGACUUAGCGCCACUUAAGUUUUGUUUAGUUACACUCGAAAUCCAAAAACUUUUCAAAGUUCCCUUCACGUCGAAUUUAGAGACACAUACAUGAAGCAUUAAAUAUAAAUAAAAAAAUAACUAAUUACAUAAUUUAUCUGUAAUUUGAGAGACGAAGCUUUUGAGUCUAGUUAGUCUAUAGUUGAACAAUAAUUAUCAAAUAUAAAAAAAAAUGUUAUAGUACCAAAAAAAUCUUUUCACUCACGAACUAAAUAAAGGCCCUAAUCUCAUCAUCCGCCUCACUGUUUAAUCGAAUGUCCUUGAUGGCCACCCACAGGCUCACAAAACCUGAGACGGUGAGACCUUGCCUGGGGUAGUAUAUGGGGCCAAUGGCCAAUCCAUUUAUCAGUUUGCCCAAGGCAGGUGGUGGGCCACUCUGUUCAAUUUUGAGUCUAAUAUAUGCAAUAUCUUCUCUUUUGUGCAAUUUUUGUCCGUGGGUUCAAACAAUCCUGCCACCGUGUCACCGGUGGCUGAUCGUGUCAACCCUUCGCCGCAGUCCGCUCCACCACAGUACGGGGGGCCCAGUUGCAGUCUCUGCCACCGCAGUAGGGAUGUUGAACUUGUAAUAAUAAAUAUGUGAGUGCUUUUAAUAUAUAAUGCAUGUUGGUGAUAUAGAUGUGAUAAUUGGCGUGUGUGUAUAUAUAUUGUCUGUUACAAUGGAAUGUAAAAAAUAAAACAAAUACAAUUCUCGGGGUCUUCGCCGAGUGCGGUGCCAGGGUCACUUGGCAAAGCAAUUUAAAAAAACAAUUUUGCCGAGUGUCGGGGCCACGACCACUCGGCAAAGAAUUUUUCUUUAAAAAAGAAAAGACACUUUGCCGAGUGCUGAUGCUAGGGGCACUAGGCAAAGUAUUUUUAAAAAAAACAAAUAUGCGGAGUGCCGCGGCAAGGGACACUCAGCAAAUAUUUUUUUUUUAAAAAAAAAGAAAGAAAAUCUUUGUCGAGUGCCUGAGGCCAGAGGCACUUGGCAAAGCAAUUUUUUUUAAAAAAACUUUGCCGAGUGUUAAGGGGCCAGGGGCACACGGUAAAAUAUUUUUUAAAAAACAAAAACUUUGUCGAGUGUCGUGUCGGGCAACUCGGCAAAAUAACUGUUAACGGCAGAUGCUGUGACGGCCAAAAAUGUUGCCGAGUGCUGUCGUAAGCACUCAGUAAAAUGUUUUUAAUAUUUUGCUAAGUGCCUCGGUAAAAAGCACUCAGCAAAGUCUCUUUGUCGAAAAUUUUUUUGCCGAGCGAACUUUGCUGAGUGCUACGUUCGGCAAAGCCUUUGCCGAGUGCAAAGGGCUCUUUGUCGAAUGUAAAAACACUCGGCAAAGUCCUAAUUUCCAGUGGUGGGUGUGCUGGGACAAUUUAGAAAGCAAGCAACGAUUUCAUUUUGCGUUAGAUCACUCCCAUCCUCGAAGCCUCAGUUUUUUUUUUCAGAAAUAAGUUCCAGCUGUUGCUGCUGAGAACUAAAAGAAGCUUUUCACCCUUGAUUGAUCAAUGGAUUGGCUCUCUAGUUUAACAGGCUUCUUUGUUGUACUCUUUUUGCUCUUUUUUCCUUAGUUUUUUUGUUCCUUAGUUAAGACUCCACCCUACUGCCUCCUUAACUGUUGUGCUUUUUUUUUUGUAAAAGACCUUUUUUAUUAUAAUUUUUGCAUUGUUGUAGGGGUGCAAACCCCUCCAAUCUCCUUCAAAAAAUUCAAAAGUAAUAUAACCUUGCAGAACAAAGGACGGUAAUCCCACCAUUUUGCUAUGUGAGCCCACUCCUCUUAUUUUUUUUACUUUUAUUUUGAUUAUGCCCACUCCUGUUAAGCAGUCAUUUGUUCCAUUCCCUAAAUAUAUUUCUAUUUUUUAGAAUAUUCAAUAAGGCGUAUAUACAUUAUAUUUUAAGAAAUAAACUAUAUUCAAGACAAAUCUACCCACAUCAAUAUUACUUGUAUACAUUCAAAUAAACAUGUAGACAUAAUAAUUCGAUAGUUAAGGUUUCAAAAUGAUUGAAAUAAGACAACUUGAAAUAUGUCACAAUAAAAAAUUAUUUGUGGUCAAAGUUUCUGAAAUUAUUGACUUACGACAACGUACAUCCAAGUGUCACUUAAUUGCUUUGUGAGCAGAGGGAGUAUAUAUUUUGGCAAGUUACCCUCCAUCUAAAAAUAUAAAACACAUGUUUUUAGGACAGUAAGAUUUGACCAAUAGGUGCUUGUGCCAUUAAUAUGCAUAAAUCAUAGAUACUUUUGAAUACAAAUAUCUAGUUACAUCAAUUUGCUACCACAAAAUUGCAAGUAUCUUGGUUAAAGCCAUGUCUAACAAAACAUGAGCUUUGGGAUGGAUAUAUAUCAUAUUGGUGUGUACGUUUAGUAGUCUCUCUUCGUUUCAAUUUAUUAGAUGUUGUUUUGGCUUUUGUAGAUACAAAAAUUUUUUUAUGUAUCUAGAUAACGUUUAUUAUGAUAUAGAUAUAUCGUAUAUCUAUAUGCCUAAAAAACUGAAUAUCUAGAAAAACUAAAAUAACCUAUAAUUUAGGAUAGAGGGUGGUAAUAAUUAUACAUCUUCUGCUACCAAGUCCCUUAAUUACAGCACACAGCUCUGUUUUCUAGUUGCCUUGAUCGUUCAUCAGAUGAAUUAUGUAUUUGAAGAGUAGCGCGUGUGUGGUCAUGUCAUGAAAACGUGCUAGCUAGGUACUUGUUUUAAUUUCCACCGUGUGAGUAUUUUUUUUUUUCAAGUGGCGAGAGUUCAUUAAUUAAAUAAAACCAUUCAAUUUUUCAAAUCACAAUACGUUGUCUGCAAAUCCUCUGAGUCAGCCAGUUUUUCGUUACGUGCUAUACUCCGUCCAUUCUAAAUUAUGUUUUUUAAACUUUUUGGUAUAUUCAUUUUGCUACAUACUAAAAAAAUUAAAAAUAACUUAUAAUUUAGAACAGAAGAGGUAUAUAUAUAGUUGCAUAUAUGCUGACAAGUGUUUGGGGGAGAAUAGAGCAGUAACUCUCUUGACCAAGCGUUUGGGAGUCAUGGAACACAGUCACAUGGCGCAUGCAUGCGUAACAACAAUUUGGAAACAAAGAGAUGUGUGUGUGCAUGUAGCAGUGAUCGAACUAGUACAAACCACAGGAGCGAGAGGAAACGUACACGGACAUAAAUAAUAAACACCGCACAUAGUGCAUGCACUCAAAAAUAAACCCAACAAGCAAAAGUACAUCUCUCACACACACAUGUACACACGCACGUACGUACAUACGCUAAGAUGCAAGCGUAUCACAGCGUACACGACGACACGUACGUACAUACGGAGAGAUUUUUAUUCAGUAGUACGACGUAGCAGUAGUAGACAACUCAUCAUCUCAUCAUAUCAGGCGUAGAUAGAUACUCAUCCAUGGUCGAUGCUCCGGCGCCGAUCGACGACGACGGCGGCGGCGGCGGAAUGGAUCAUCGAUCGAUCGAUCAUCGUUUAGGUUUAGUUCACCCUGCAUGAUCAUGCAUGCAUGGAAGACGAAGCACAAGUUAAUUAAACGACUUGAUAUUCAAGUUGAAUCAGACCAUGCAUGCAUGCAAAGUUGCAAACAACUUGUAGUGAUUGGAUCAUUCAUUCAGAUCAUCACUUAAUUACCUGGAGCAGUCGGUGGAGGUGCUGAUGGUGUAGGGGACGCUGACGCCGCACUUGGAGGGGAUGCUGGCGGCGUUGCCGGCGUUGAGGCCGCUGAUGCCACGGGCGGCGUUCUUGAGGCAGUUGCAGGCGGCGCGCCUGUCGGCGGUGGUGCGGGCGGCGGAGUUGAGGCUCCUGACGCCGCUGCAGCAGCCUGCUGAGGGUGCGGAGCCCUGGCCCCGGGCGUAGGACAGGCAGGGCGCGAUGGCCGAGCUCACCUGCCCGCAGGAGAUGGCCGCCUCCGAGGUCGUCGCCGCCAGCACCACCACCGCCGCCGCCGCCACCACGGCGAUCGCCACAGCAAGCCGAGCCAUGUCGUCGAUGUUCUGGGGGUGUCUGAGACUUGCUUGUACUAGCUUUGGAAUGCAAGUGAGCAAGUGCUAGCCGCUGGUGAGGAGAGUGAGAUGGAGUGUGGCUCCUUAAAUAGGCAGGCUUGCGAUCGAUCUGAUCUGAUCUGAUCUGGGAGCUAGCUACAGUAGCUUGUCAUUGCUGAUGACAGAUGUGCAUGCAUGCACGGUGUUGUUGCAUUGCAUGCAGUUUCAGGCAGGCAGUCGGUGGAAUGGUGGAUGCAUGCAUAUGAAUGAAUGAAUAUGGUGGAUGUUCCAACAUCAUCUUCCAUGGACGACGGACGGUAUCGUCGCCAUCCGUCGAAGUUAAUUGCUGGGCAGGAGGUGGUUGGGUGUUGGGAGCAGGAGGCAGAUAGAUACAGAUAAUACUACAGCGGUUAGUUGAUGAGGGCAUGAUCGAGGCAGAGUGAAUUCAUUUGCAGCAGCAAUAGCAACUUAUUAGGGUAUGUUAUACUAUAACACUUUCGUUUAUAUUUAGCAAUAAAUAUUUAAUUAUAGACUAACUAGACUCAACAAGUACUUUAUCUCGCGAUUUACAUAUACAAACUAUGUAGUUAAUUAUUUUUUUUUUAUUUAUAUAUAUUUUAUGUUUCGUACAUGCGUCUAAAGAUUCGAUGCGACGAGAAAUCUUAUAAACAUUUAGAAUUUUAAAGACAUUUAAACACGCCCUUAAAUAGCAGCCGCCUAACACGACUUAGCAGGCAGGGUGAUGGCGGCAGUCGGCAGGGACGGACGUACGUGGCUCUCAUCUGAUGAAGUUGGAGGCGUAUUCACUCUCUCUCACUAGUGUGUCAGUGUGAGGUAGUUUGCAGUUGGAUCCGAGUGCUUAUCGCACAAUAAACACAUACUCUUCCUGCAUUAAGACGUCAAUUAUAUAUGGAUCGUCCAUCAUCCAUGAAUCCUUCCAGUAGUCUUCGUUAAUUCCUCCCGGCCGCAACCAGAAACAGAGAUAUCAGUACAGUGCAGGAGGUUACAUGCACAUUCACAAAUUGAAGUUGCAGCAGUGGUAGCGAUUAAGUUGUCCAGCAAGUAUGGGAGCCCACAUGUCGCUGUCUCGAUCGGAAGCUCCGCCACGUAUUACAUACAUGCAUCCCGUCCCCAACCUAGCUAGCUACCUCUGUGUGCACAGGCAGGUACCACCGACGGUUUCCCAAAACUCGUAUGUGUCCGACCCUCAAAAACAAAUCUCUCAAUUUUUGUUCAAAACAAACAAAUUUUUUAAAAUUUUAGAUUCAAAAACAAACAACUUUUGACCAUCAAAGAAAAAUACUGCUCUACCUCGAUCCGUUCUAAAAAGAACUUGGGAUUAUAUUCUAGAAAGUAACAGAUAGAUUCGUGUGUAAUGUUUAGAGAUGAGAUCUUGUAUGAAAAGAUUGGUUGAUGCGUAUAGAGCAACUUCAACCAAACUUCUAAAUGAACCUCUACCUUUUUAUAUAAAGGGGCUAAAACUCAAAUAUACUCUCGAACUGAUCCGGUCCCGACGGAGAGGGGCUCCCAUUUAUCUUUCCUCUAGAUGUAUGAGGCGGUGUUUCGGAUGGUUUGAUUCAAUUCCUUGCAGCUGCUAUUCAAUGAUGUCUUAACUGUAGCUCAUUUCUACCACUCUUAAUUAUGUAUGGCGAAGAGAAGAUUAAGCUCCCAAUCGAGUCCGAGUUGGAGGAUUUCGGUGCAACGUGGAGUUUGAUCUCUGCAUGGAUCGUUAAAUCUAAGUUGAGGUCAAUGUUUGUACUACAGAUCAUAGUACAUUGUGGUUGCCCUUGUUUGUAUGAGAUCUAGUGUAGAAUUUGUUGAUACUUUGUUGGCUACACAUUUGAUGGUUCCUUUCACUUAGGUUUCUUGGAUGAGCAGUUGUAAAUGCCAUUGCUUUCAUUAGUCGGCAGUUUGGUGCGCAUAGUGGUGUUCACAUGUGCUAGUUGCUCAUUUAGUGAUUGUGGUUCCUGAAUUAUGUGUUUGAGGUGGAGCACAUUUAGAAAGUAUGGAUUUGCAUUCUUCACUAUCUGUUCAAUUAAUGCCUUAGGUGAUUUCUUCGCAUACCCUUUCGUGAUCGAGCAAUUUGUUCAGACUUGGGUUAGAAGGCAGUAGCACAUGCUCAAACAUUUGCUGCGGUUAGAAUUUGUCGAAGACUCAGUUUUGUUCAUCUGAAUUUGGUGAGACACGAUUUGAACUUCCUAGUUAUUCUUGCUUGCUCGAUUUGGUAGCUUCUUGUGAAGCAUUUGUUGGUGGUUUUGUUAGUGUAUUUGACUUGGUGUUGGAGAUUUGAGCAUUUUGCAUCAUGAUCAUUGGUGUGUUGGCCAUGUUGUUCACUCAUUGGAGUUCACUCAUGAAUUUGUUUCUAGCUUCAUCAUUUGCCAAGUCAAAACAAGCUACCUUCAUGUUGGAGGCGAUAAAUUUGUCUUUUUUAUUAUUUAUUUGAAGAUGAAGGAUUUGAAGAUUGGACUUCCCUCAUCAAGAAUCUUGAUGUGUUCGCUCUAUGGUUCAAUCGUCGCCGAGGUAUAGAAUUGUGAUGUUGCAGCUUCUAAUAACACCAUUUGAGGCUUUACAUUAUGCAGAAUGUUACCUAUAUGUUUGGUUAGGUGUCUAGGAACUUAUUUGUGGUAAUCUGUAACUUUGAGAGCCUUUUAAUGAAAUGCCCAAACCAGCCCAAAAAGGGCAUCCCAAGCUCCCUGCUUCUGUAGGUGCAUGCUCUUCCCCUUUGGGGGGUUGAGAGAGGCCGGGAGAGGAGAUUUGAGGGUGGGGCUUUGUUUUACCAAAUCUGAACAUUAUAGAGUGAAAUCGGAGGGGAUUUAGAGCCUUCGCCAACCUUGUUAGUUCACGCCUCUUGUAUCAUCAUCUUCACAGUGGAUUGCUUGCUCGUCGCCGCCUGUGGUUUUUCCUACAAGGGGUUUCCACAUAAAUCUUAGUCUCUACCUAUGAUUCAGUAUUUAUCUUGCCAUACUUGUUGAUUCAUACCAAUCUUGCUUACAUGGUGUCAUUUCUCCAAGUUCAUGGUGUAUGAUUGAUAUUGACGUAUGAUGCAUACAUGCAUUCUCUUAUAUGUUAAUGAUGGGGAUUGAUGUGUUAGUGAGUUCAUAUUUACAAGUAUACUCAUUAUUGUGAAGUUUGCAUAGCACCAUGUCUGAAGAAUUGAUAAUAUGGGUCUGAUUUGUAUUUUGCACAUAAGGUGUUAGUUGAAAUAUUCAUGAGUAACUAGCUUGCUAAUUUUGAUGUUUCCUCUGCCUCUAUGCGCUUACAAUAAGUUUAUGGAAUAAAUUUUAGAUCCUUAAUUGAUAUUUAUCUUUGGAAAUAGAGGAAGUAAUAAAUGGUCCCAAUUUGCUAGCCACUUGUACAUAGUUAUACUAUAUACAAGCUUAUGCAAGUCAAAAUGUAAAAAACAAGAAGAACCAAGAAACAUGAACAAAAUACAUACAUACACUUAUGCAAGAUGUAGUAUAUAACUUUUAGGACAAUAUUUAUUUUGGCUCUGUUUCACUAGUGGAGUAGCUUUUUCCACUGGUAAAGGUAAAAUUGUUUUAGUUGUUUGGUCAAACAACUUCUCUAAUUCUUAAAAACAAAAAAUGACUAUAAUACUCUUUUUUGGCUGGCCGAGCUUUAAAAUUUUUAUCUUCUUUUUUAUGAAUUCUUCUUUAUGUGGCUACCAUCUGUUUGUCCUCCCCGCUUAUCCCCUGGUGCCCCGACCCGUCCACCUCCGCCUCAGCUUUGCCACCUUCAUCCUCAUCCAGCCACCAGAUGUUUCUCCUCAGUGUUCAUCCCAUGGUCCCCGCCCAUCUCCCACCGGUGACUCCACCCCUCACACCUCAAUGACUCCACCCCGCCCUUGUUACAUCAUUCUUCGUUGUAGUUUUGUUUGCAUCCAAUGACUUCAGUCACCCCCACAACUCUAGCCCCAUGCCACACUUGUCAUGGUGCAUGUAUUUGCCGCACCAUGCCUAUACAAAGAUGGCCCUCAUGACUUGAUGGAAGAGCUAAGCAAAGCCAUUUUUAGCUUCCCUAGAUGUGAGCGCGUGUAAGAUCGUGUUUUCCGAAGUUAGCACGAGGAGUAGCAACAGCUUUCAAGAUGGCAACGGGCCCCGAUCCCCGAUGGGGAUUUCAUCCAUUAGGGGACGAGAACGGGAAAAUUUUGAUCCCCGUAGGGGGACUUCAUGAGAAAGAAGGAUCCUCCAUCAGGUGAAGCGGGGAUGCAAACAUUCUAGGCUUCAUCCUUUAGCCUGACCCAACAAAUGAAAUAGGUCCAGUUUCUAACACCUAAAAAAAUCAUAUAAAAGCAAGAGCAUUUGUAACCCUAGUGAUCCACCAUUGCUUCUAGGCUUCUAGCUGAGUUGUCACUUCCACCGGUCCUCCUCCACUCCUCCUGUAUGCCUCUAAAGUCCAAGCUCAUCCUAUCUCCCUCUCUCCCCUCUACCCUCUGUCUCGCACCAACGACGUUGUGGUGGCGGUGAUGCUUGCGGGCUGUGGCCACAUGCUCUGGUAAGCAAGCACUGCUCUAGGGUUGAACCUGACAACAGCGGAGCCACGGAUGAGGUGUUCAAGGGAAGACGUGAAGGGCAACACCAAGGGGUUUAUCGGGGAUAGAGACCCCGCCGAGUGUGUAAUCUCGGGGACAGGGAUGGGGAAAUCUGGUACCCAGGUGCAGGGAUAGGAACAGGGACGGGGAGCGGGGUGUUUUUCUUUUCUCAUGGUCAAAACGUUCAAGCAAAACCUGACGGGGAUAGCCCCGUUGCCAUCUUUAAACGGCUCUCCUUCACCUGUUCGGUAGACGAACACGUAGACCAACUCUAGGAGCAGUUUGAUUUACAUUUCCUGACGGUUGACGGAGUUAGUAAUUAAUUACGUAAGAGUAGUUGAAGGAGCUUCCCGGCACCAUAUACUUGCGAGUGAUAUGCAGGGGUUACAAUAAUUACAGUUUACAAUGCUCGUCUCUUUAAUUAUGCGACGGGACGUGACGAUGGCCCAGCGGCUCAGCUGCAUGCAUGGAUCAAUCGAUCGAUCGCCAAUUAUCAAAAAAACCAAUCGAUCGACAGCUAGGUAAACUACCAGCUGCGGAUUAUAAAUUAUUCACGCUCAUCAUAUACAUAUAUAAUUAUAUAUACACGUACGUACGCUUCUGAGUACGAGCGACGAAAGUGUGGUGCAAGUGCAGCGUACAUGCCGGUACAGCGGCCAUCAUAUCAAGAUAUGUAUCCAUCUCCUACUACUGUACACAUUUGUAUCCUUACGGAGAUACAGUAUAUCAAGAUCAUCCUCUGACUCACUGCAUAGUCUGCACCGCAUCACGUACGUGCCGAAUACGUACAAGACUGAUUCAUGCUACAUAGUACGUGCGCCACACUCCUCGAUCGAUCGGUACAUCUUCACGUGUCCAUGUUCCUCAUCAACGAAUUAAUGCAUUUGUUUUCACAUGCCGCAUGCAUGAGAGUCGUCGGUCGUGGUGCCACUGUGCACACAUGCUUGAGUCCUUUGCUUUUCCUGUGCUCCAAUUCUUUUUUUCCAUAUACUCUACUCCCCGUCCCAAAAAAAGUGUCGUUUUAGAAUUUCAAACAUCUUAUUUGAUCAUCCAUUUUAUUCAAAAUUUUUACAUAAGUAUUAUAAAUUUUGUUAAGACCUAUUUAUCAUUAGAGAUACUUUACUAAUGAUUUAUUUAUUUUAUAAUUUACACAAAAUUUUUGAAUAAGACGAACGAUCAAACACGAUUUCUAAAAAUAAAAAACGUCACUUUUUUUAGAAUGGAGGGAGUACAUUAUUUUCAGAUGCCCAUCCUAGAGUAUGUAGUACCAUUCCAUGUAACAGCUAGUACCUUGUACCUAGGAUGGAGUACGUACUACUCGUGCUUGCAGUAGCGCGCGAAAGUGGACGACAGCACGCCCAUACGGCCAUCCGCUCACCAUUGUCUACAUCCUAGCUUUCUACGUACGUGUGUACCUGUACAUAUAGUCAUAAACCUAUAUCUACAUUUUUUAAUAAUAAUUUAUAUCCAUACCCUAAUAAUUUUAAUAAUAAUGAAUAAUAAAAGAAGCAAAAAAUUUCCCAUCCCUCCUAUUACUGCUUUAAGUAAAAAAAAAGACCUUCACGGACGCGGCAACACUUGUGUUAGGAUGAAAGAUAGAAAUGAGGCACAGCCAAUCUGUCGUCUUGUGAUGAAUUACGAAAAGAAUAUUUGUCAUCAGAUCAGUAGUAGAAUUAACAAUCACACGUAGAACAGACACAAUGAUUUAUGUGAAAGACCUUUUCAAGGCAAGAAGUAAAAACUAUGGAACCAAACGCUCUACUCCAAGCUUCCACUAUAAGUACAAUGAGUGUAGAAGGAGUUUUAUCUAGGGAAUCUAGAGUUAACCAGCGAUAACACAUUCAUCAAAUUACAAACUUGCCAUCAGUUAGAACCACAACCUUCUAACAAUAAGAGGAAUGACAACAACGAAGUAAAGAACUCAUAUAUUUUGUUCCCCUUUGGUAUCAAUUUAUAUCUCAAACUAUAGCUUUAUUGUGCAUUAAUUUUGAAAUGCAUAUAGAUCCACAAGUCCCCUAGCCACUGAUCAAGUUUUAGCUCAAUUGGACACCAUUUCACCAUCCAAAACAAUCAUCUACCAAAAUUUCUCUCUGUCUUGAAACUUAGUAACCAGAGCUGACAAAACAUACCCUUUCAAAUCUGGUGCUCUAAUCAACCGAUCCUCAAACCAACUGAACAUAUCAAACUAACCUAAUUGAGGAAUGAGCUAACCAAGUUUGGUCCCAAUCCAUCUAUGUUUGAGCCUACAAUCACUGGCUUUAAGAUGGCUGGUUAGAGCCACCAAAUCUCGAUAGAUUUGGUUCUUCUUAUUGUUCCUCCUCUUUGUCUAUCACGUUGUGGUGUUCUUGUGUUUCUCAACACCCCUCUCUUAGCUCCAACAACUAAAGGAAUAAAAGCUAGGGUUUUUAUUUUUAGUUUCCAAUUAAGAUUGAUCUUCACCGUUGGUUCCAACUAAAAUCAACAACUCACAAGAACUAGCCUCAGAGUUAUAUUUUCAGCUGCUUUGCGGAGCUCAAGAUCAUCCUCUAUAUGAAGGGACAGACUAGCACUUGUGUCAUAGCUUGGUCGACUGAGCUUGAGAUCCAACGGUGGGGUGGUGGGGCUCUAGAGCCCCCUCCUACGGCUACUGGACCUAUGGAGUCUCCAUAGGAAUUUUUUAUCAUGGAUGCACUUGAGGAGAGGCUGAAGCUAUCUAAAGGUUUAAAGAAAUCUCCCUAGACAUUUUUGCUAGAUCCGUUCCUAUAUGUGAUACAACCAGUGCAUUCAAUAGCCAGUAGCCACCAAAUCACUAGAAUUUAUUUGAUUUAAUUAAAGUAAAGUUUGGUUCCAACUAAAUUAAUAAAUUUAAUAAAAUGAUUAGUUUAUUAUCAUCUACUUUGGUAGAUCCAGACAAUCGCACGAGAAGUUGUAGGUGUGUACUUGUGUUACAGCACAGCAGCAUAUAUGAGCAUAUUCGUUAUGCCAAUAUUAUACACAAAGAAAAAGAGUCAUGGACGAGGCGGCAAUUGCUGUCGGUGGAUGGCUACCUUUCGGAAGCUAGCCACCGUACACACUCUUUUGGCCGGCCGGCGUCGGCGUGCUGCCAAGUGCAACCUCCCCAACGCUAAGCAGGUAGUGAUAUUAAUGCCGCUGCCGGUGAGGCUCGUCGUCGUCGUCGUCGUCGUCGUCGUGUGACACAAACAAGUCUACCAUCACCCAGAGUGGUCCCGGACACUGUAGGACACGCGUAGUGUAUGUACGCAAUGUCGUCGUCUGCUGCCCUGCUCAACGAUGUGUUCUAACUUUAUUACACGGUACCUGUACGAGGGUAGCAGCAGCUGCUCGGCUGCUGCAGGUGGAUCAUGCACACGCGCGCAACUCCAACACUACCCUAAACUUCACUUGGCAAAUCUUGAAUUUUGCAAAGUGUAAAACUCAAAUGCCAAGUGAAAAAAAGAGGCUUCUGUUAGCUAUUUCUUUUGACAAAUUUGGACUAUCUUGUGAUUCCUGAAAAAAUCAGAGAGACUUUUAUACAAAAGUUGCAAUCUAUUUAAGGCAUGCGUGCAUGCUGAAUGUGUGGGUCCCACCGCGUAGGCAGGAUGCCAAGCGCUCCCAACGCUCUUAAAUUUGAGCCAGUUGGCCCUCUUUUUGCCAAGCAUCCUAUUUUGCCAAGUGCAUAUAGAGUAGUGUUGGAGGAGCUUUUCCAUGUUUUGCCAAAAAUUAGGAUUUGCCAAGUGCAUAUAGGGUAGUGUUGGAGUUGCUCUAAGGACGUCCAGAACAGCCAUCUAAGGUCUCUUUGGUUGGACUUUUGAACCUGCUUUUGCUUUUGUAAAAGCCAAAAUCCAACCAAAGGGCCCAAAAGCCACAAGUGCUUUUGCCCAAAAGCAGCUUUUCUCGUAGUACAAAUCCAAAAGCACCUCACCCCCUGCUUUCACUGACUUCUGGGAUCCGUUCAGUUUUUUUUUCCAAAAGCCACGAGUGACCAACCAAAUGACUUUUGGGUUUCUCAAAGCCCACAUCCCACAGUAGCUUUUCAAAAGCUCAAAGCUCACAGUAGCUUUUCCAAAAGUCACAUCCCAAUCAAACACACCCUAAGGCCUUGUUUAGAUCCAAAUAAUAGAUCUACAGGAUCUACUAGCAAUAGAAAGAACAGGGAUUCGGGAUACAUAAGUAACAUAGACAGUAACAUAAAUAUGCACACUAGAUCUAUUACAUAGGGAAUAGAAACAGGUAGAUCUAGAGUAUAGGGAUUCGACCGUCGUUGGCGGCGGGUGUAGAUCCAGUGGGGUCCAUGGCGAGGGCGUUGACGCGGUGACGGAGUAGAUCCCGUCGUCCUUCGGGCCUCCACCGGCACUGACCGACGACGGCGGGGUAGGAGUAGAAGGGUGACGGCGCGGUGGUGCUUCCCGACGCCACUGCGCACUGUCGAUCGGCGACCUAGGGUUGUGAGUAGGGUUUGGCGGCGCACGACGAACUUCGUGUUGUGUGCCAGUAGCCCCCUACUCCUAUAUUUAUAGCGCAGCGCGUCGGGGGCCCACCAACGAUAGAUCGAUUGGACGCCCCCGAUCAGGGCGCGAUCCAGGGGGAAAGGCCCCAGCCGUUGGGCUGGGCCUGAGAUCAAUAUAACAUUCUCCCUCUUGAUCUCAUCUGUGCUUUCUCGCUUUGUCAACUCACCCCGUCACAAAUCAGUGUAUUGAGCAUGCUUCAUCUUAGCAGUUAUCACUGCUAGAUUAGACAGCCACAAACACUUUUCUGUUUAGAGAUGAAUUCUCGCCUUGGGCCCCUUGCUAUCCAGGAAUCACAGGCUUUCCCUUAAACCCAUGUCGGCUACAUGUUCUCUGAACAUACUGGGCGGUAAGCCUUUCGUAAGCGGAUCCGCUAGCAUCUUUUCUGUGCUUAUAUGUUCAAGACUUAUGAUGUGAUCUCGGAUUUUAUCCUUGACAACAUAAUAUUUUAUGUCAAUGUGCUUGGCGGCAUUGCUUGACUUAUUGUUGUGAGCAUACAACACUGCUGGCUCGUUGUCACAAUACAACUUUAGUGGUUUAUCGAUGCUGUCGACCACCUUUAAACUGGGUAUAAAUUUCUUAAGCCAAUUCACCUGUCCUGAUGCCUCAUAACAAGCAAUAAACUCAGCAUACAUUGUGGACGAUGCAGUGAUUAUUAUUUGUUUUGAGCUCUUCCAUGAUAUGGCUCCUUGCACGAGAGUGAAUAUAUACCCUGAGGUAGACUUUCUAUCAUCUUCCGCGUAAUCAGAAUCUGAAUACCCUACUAUUUGUAGGUCAUCAGAUCUUCUAUAGGUUAACAUAUGAGCCCCUUCGUGCCUUGCAAGUAUCUUAAGAAUUUCUUUACUAGAUUCCAGUGUUCCAUACCAGGAUUACUUUGAUAUCUACCAAGUAGCCCGGUCACAAAAGCCAGGUCCGGGCGUGUGCACACUUGAGCAUACUGUAAGCUUCCGACAGCUGAAGCGUAUGGAACGGCUUGCAUGCAAUCGCGCUCGAACUUGCUCUUGGGACAUUGAUGUUCCCCAUACUUGUCACCUUUUACAAUAGGAGCAGGUGAAGGUCUACACUUAUGCAUAUUGAAUUUCUUCAAUAUUUUCUCUAUAUAUGCCUCUUGGGACAAUCCCAAUACCCCUCGACUUCUAUCUCGGUGAAUCUUUAUGCCCAAGACAAAAGAAGCUUCACCUAAAUCUUUCAUAUCGAAAUUUGAGGACAAAAAUCUCUUGGUUUCCUGUAGUAGAGUGACACCACUACUGGCUAGUAGAAUGUCAUCUACAUACAGUACUAGGAAAAUGUAUUUCCCAUUCUUAAACUUUGCAUAUACGCAAUUGUCCUCAACAUUCUCUUUAAACCCAAACUUUCUGAUUGUCUUAUCAAACUUUAAAUACCACUGCCUGGAUGCUUGCUUUAAUCCAUAAAUGGAUUUCUUCAGGCGACAACCCAUUCUUUCUUUGCUUGUCACAACAAAACCUUUCGGUUGUGCCAUGUAUACUCUUUCUUCUAGAUCCCCAUUGAGGAAAGCUGUCUUCACAUCCAUUUGAUGCAAUUCUAGAUCAAAAUGUGCCACUAGGGCCAUUAUGAUUCUAAAAGAGUCCUUGCUCAAGACGGGAGAGAAUGUUUCAUUAUAAUCUAUCCCUUCUCGCUGAGUAAAACCCUUGGCUACCAGUCUUGCUUUGUACCUUUCUAUGUUCCCUUUGGAGUCACGUUUCACCUUGUAGACCCAUUUGGAGCCUACUGUUUUGGCUCCUUCAAGAAUUUCCUCUAGGUCCCAAACUUUAUUGGUACUCAUAGACUUUAAUUCAUCUUCCAUGGCUUCUUGCCACUUAGAUACUUCGGUGCUCCUCAUGGCUUCUUCAAAUGAAGUGGGUUCAUCCUCCAUCUGAACUUCUUUGCAUUCAUAGACUAUAUAGUCAUCUGGAAUAGGAGACUUUCUCGCUCUUUGAGGUCUACCAGAAGUUUCUGGUACUGGCAUUUCUUCUUGAGGUUGCUCUUGUUGGGGCUGCUGUUCUUCAACUAUGGGUUCAUUCGGCUCCUGAAGGACAAGUUCCGAAUUAGCCAUAGGCGAAAAAGCAGCAGGUGUUGUCACUACUAGUGUAGAUCCAACAACAACAGGCAGCGUAAAGUAGGGUUCUUGCACCAUGGGAAUGGGCACGAACACCCGCUUCUCUGCAAGGGUAAUUUCUCGCGCUGCCUUGCUCCCCCUGAUCAUCUGAUCUUCUAGAAAACUAGCGUGUCUCGGUUCCACAAACUUGGUAUGUCUACCAGGGCAGUAGAAACGAUAACCUUUUGACUUUUCUGGAUAGCCAAUAAAAUGACAACUUACUGUUUUGGGGUCUAGCUUUCCUAUGUUUGGGUUAAAUACUUUUGCUUCAGCAGGGCUCCCCCAGACACGCAAAUGGUUGACUGAGGGUUUCCUGCCGGUCCACAACUCAUACGGUGUUUUAAGUACUGACUUGCUUGGAACUCUGUUGAGAAUAUGAAUGGCGGUUUUUAAGGCCUCCAUCCACAAACUCAAUGCAGAGUGGAAUAGCUCAUCAUGCUGCGCACCAUAUCCAUUAGAGUACGGUGACGCCUUUCUGCUACUCCAUUCUGCUGUGGGUCCCCUGGCAUUGAAUACUGGGCUACUAUGCCAUUUUCCUGUAAGAACCUCGCAAAAGGUCCAGGAACUUGUCCAUAAGGGGUAUGUCGACCGUAGUACUCCCCCCCCCCCCACGGUCAGAUCUUACUACUUUGAUUUUUCUGUCUAGUUGGUUUUGAACCUCAGCCUUGAAUAUCUUAAAUUUGUCUAAAGCUUCUGAGCGUUCUUUGAUUGGAUAGAUAUAUCCAAAACGAGAGUAGUCAUCUGUGAAUGUGAUGAAGGAAUCAAAACCAUCCACAGAUGUCACUGGAAAAGGUCCACAGAUGUCUGUGUGGAUCAAUUCUAGUACUCCUGUGCUUCGCUUAGUGCCUUUCUUUAUGUUCUUUACUAACUUGCCUUUAAUGCAAUCGACGCAUUGCUCUAACUCUGAGAGUUCUAGUGGUGGGAGGAUUGAUUCUUUAACUAAGCGUUCUAUUCUCCCCCUCGAAAUGUGGCCUAAGCGACAGUGCCAUAAUUUCGAUGAGGAAUCAAUUCUCUUUCUUUUCUUGCUAGCAUCUGCGGGUAUUGCAUUCUCAGCAUUAUUACAUUCAGCAUUCACAUUCUCAGACAUAGAUAAUAAAUAAAGUUUGUCUUGUCGGAAGGCAAGACCCACACAUUUAUUAUUUAACUGUAGCUUACAAUCAUUCUUGCUGAAAUGGCAAUCAAAACCAUAGUCUGACAAACAUGAAACUAAAAUUAAAUUUCUAGCUAAAGAGGGGACAUAAAGAACAUCAUGCAACUCAAGUGUGAAGCCACUAGCUAAAUCUAGAGAUAAAUUUCCUAUAGCUUGAACUUCAGCAGCAACACCAGUGGCCACCUUAAUCUGUCUUUCUCAUCUUUGAAGGGUUCUCCCUCCACUGAAUCCCUGCAAAGAGUUUGCAACAUGAACAGUUGCACCUGAGUCAAUCCACCAUGUGGAUCUAGCAUAACUUAGAUAUAAGGAUUCAUCAACAAAAGUUAUAAUGUCCUCACCUUUCACUAGGCAAUGUUUCAUGAACUUAGGGUAUUCAUGCUUCCAAUGCCCUGUCUCAUUACACCAUCUACAGCGAUCCGGGUCCUCCUGCCUGUGCUGGUUGUCUUGCUUUGGCUGUGCUUUUGGCUGUGAAGAGCUUCCUCCCUUGUUCUCGGAGGUGGAGGCAUCUAGAGCUUUCUUGUUGUAGAAUGGUUUCUUGUUCUUUCCUUUCACAAAGUUCACAGAACCACCAUUUGCAUUCUUGAGCCUUUCUUCCUCUUGCACACACAUAGCAAUCACCUUCUCUAAAUCCCACUCCUCUGGCUGUGUGUUGUAGUUAACAACAAAUGUCUCAUACUCUUUAGGAAGUGAGUUUAGAGCUAGGUGAAUGAUGAAACCAUCAGCGAGGGGCAUCUUUAGCUUCUCUAACUUGGCUGCCAUGGUGCUCAUGCUCAGAAUGUGCUCUCUCACACUCCCCCCUGUGAACCUCAUGUUAGUGAGUUUCUGGAUCAGGGUGGAAGCAUGAGCUUUGGUGGAACCAGUAAACUGAUUCUUCACUUUCUCAAGGUAUUCUUUUGCUGUCUCACAUUCUGGGAUGGCACCUCUUAGGCCCUCUGUGAUGGUUUUCUUGAUGACAAUCUUGCAUUUGCGGUUUGACUUUUCCCACUUGUACUUCUCAAGAUCAUACUUUGCUAUGAUGGGAGCAAAGUCUCGCUUCCGAUUAGCAAAAGCUUCAUCGCUCUCAUUCUGAGCCCUUUCGGGCUCCUCUGGCUCAGUGGGCUUUGGCUCCUGAAGAGCCAAAUCUAUCUCAGCAAGUGCUAGAGCUGCAUCAAGUUCCUCGCGCCACAGAACAUAGUUCUGCCCCGUCAGCUUUGGGAUUGCACUGAUGAAGUGCAUCGCAUUCUGCGCUUGGUCUGAAAUUAAAUAUGAGAAAAUAGUGAGAACAUCAACAUUAAAUCUAGGAAAAAUAAUUGCAUAUCUUAAUUUAACGUUGGUCAAAAUCAAGAUAUACAAAAAUUAACUCUCUACAUAAAUUCUAAUCACUGUUGGGCAGAAUAGAAUAAAUACAUAAAAUUAGAACUUGGAAUUUGUAAUAUUGCUAUUAUUAACGUUGGUCAAAAAAUAACAAUAUCACAAAAAUACUAGGCUUUAAAACUCGUGUCUCAAAUUAAAUAUCCCGUUGGUUCAAUUUAAUAUGAGAACGAAAAAAUAACUUGCGCAGCGGAAAACAUUAAUUUAUUUACUAUUUUUAGAAGCAUAACUAGCUAACUGUGCUUUCUAAUUAAUAUACACGUUGGUGCAAAUUAAAUAGAAUUUAAAACUGAGCAAAACAAAUAUUUAAAUGCUUCUGAAAAUUAAAUAGAAUAUAAAAAAGGAGUUACAUUGCUUAAACGGGCCGUGGCCAACCAUUCGGCCCACGACCUCUUGCGGUCCAGCUCGGACGCUGGCCCAGCAGCGCACGGGUGCUUCUGAGUUUUUUUUAUUCUUGGCUGGUGGCACGCGGCCCAGCUAUCGGUUUUCGGCCCAGCCCAACGGCAUGCGUGCACGCGGGCGCUUGGCGGGCCGCAACCUGGGCCGGUGGCGCGCAUUCGGCCCAGCGCCGAAACCCGCCUGGGCUCAUUCUAGCCCAGCAGCCGCUGGUCGUCCGAUUUGCGGCCGUCGCGAUCGGACGGUAGAGUGCGCAGGUCGGAGGCAUAAAAGCCGCCGGCGCCAGGCUCUCUCUCCCAAACCCUAGUUUCUUUCUCCUUUGCUUCCUUCCUGACUCAGCAGCCGACGGCGCCGGCGCAGGAGCCAGACAGCCGCGGCAAGGGCCUCGCCGGCGCCGGUGAAGACGCCGUCGUUUCGGCCGCUCCCUUUCUCCUUUCUGUGCUUUCUUUUGCUUUUUCUCUCUCCAGUCCACUUGCGCCCAGCUGUAGAGAAGGACGCAGUGCUUUGCCGGCCGGAAAGAGUGGCGCCGCCGCGGUUCCUAUCGCCGGAGCGCGCGCUUCCCGUGGUGGGUGAGCGCGCCGCCGUCGAUAAGAGUCGCGAUGGUGCCCUGCGCUUGGCCCCCAUGCGGGAUUCCUCCCUGGUUUUGACCACCCCGGCCGCUAUGGUCGUGAGGCCGGGAUGGGCUAGCGCCCAGGUAGGGUGUUCCUUUAUUCUUUGUUGUUUGAUCUAUGCUUUUAGGGUUAGGAAAUCCCUUUUCUCGAUCUUUCGCGUUUGGAUCUGGGCGCUAGGUUUAGGGUUUGGGAAAAAAAAUAAAUCCUCUCCUUCUACUUGCUGGGCUUGUUGGGUAAAUCCCGAAAACCCCGAUCUAUUACUAGAUCGGCUGAUACCAUUGAUAGAUCUACAGGAUCUACUAGCAAUAGAAAGAACAGGGAUUCGGGAUACAUAAGUAACAUAGACAGUAACGUAAAUAUGCACACUAGAUCUAUUACAUAGGGAAUAGAAAUAGGUAGAUCUAGAGUAUAGGGUUUUGACCGUCGUUGGUGGCGGGUGCAGAUCCAGUGGGGCCCAUGGCGAGGGCGUUGACGCGGUGACGGAUUAGAUCCCGUCGUCCUUCGGGCCUCCAUCGGCACUGACCGACGACGGCGGGGUAGGAGUAGAAGGGUGACGGCGCGGUGGUGCUUCCCGACGCCACUGCACACUGUCGAUCGGCGACCUAGGGUUGUGAGUAGGGUUUGGCGGCGCACGACGAACUUCGUGUUGUGUGCCAGUAGCCCCCUACUCCUAUAUUUAUAGCGCAGCGCGUCGGGGGCCCACCAACCAUAGAUCGAUUGGGCGCCCCCGAUCAGGGCGCGAUCCAGGGGGAAAGGCCCCAGCCGUUGGGCUGGGCCUGAGAUCAAUCUAACACCAAAAAGUUUUUGGAUUUUGAGAUUAUAGCAUUUUUAUUUUUAUUUGACAAAUAUUGUUCAAUCAUAAAGUAACUAAGUUUAAAAGAUUUGUCUAGCGACUUACAGACAAACUGUACAAUUAGUUUUUGUUUUCAUCUAUAUUUAAUGCUCCAUGCAUGUGCCACCAGAUUCAAUGUAACGGAGAAUCUUGAAAAGUUUUUGGUUUUUAGGGUGAACUAAACAAGGCCUAAAUAACUAGUAGAUACAUAGUAUUUUAUUUCACAUGGAGGAAAGAGAACGUGAAAACUGAGGCCUUGUUUAGUUUCAAUUUUUUUUGCAAAAUAGAUACUGUGGCACAUUCGUUUGUAUUUGACAAAUAUUAUCCGAUCAUGAACUAAUUAGGAUCAAAAGAUUUGUCUCGCAAAUUACAAUUAGGGUUUUAUAAAUGCAUUCCCCCCAUCAACCUUUAUACUCACUUUGGCUUCCCCUUUUAUAGGACACUAUUACUUGGGGAAACCAGUUUACACUCCUAUCCUACGACACAGCGGCUAUGGUACAUUAAUGGAAUACGCUUAGCCACAAACAUAAUUUUAGGGUUACUUUGGGGCAUUCCACCUUGGCAACCGCCUUAAUUCAUGGGCCUUUUCUAGUGCCCACAGAGGCCCAUCUAUCACCUCAAGUUCUAGGCACCGUAGGGGCCUUCUCGUCAGCCUUCACUAGAAAAGCCCCGCCUUCCGCCGCGAUCUGGGCUCAUGCUACUCUGGACCUUCACUGCUACACUACCACCUUCGCCUUGUGCUCCAUCCAAGGAGGGUUCCGUGAUGCCUUUGCCCCUCAGAGCGGGACCUUCGCCAAUGUCGAGGGUGCGGGCGAAGGCUCCUGUCUUUGUUCCUGCCAAUCAAUGAUCAUGUUUCGUGCAUUGUUAGUCUUUUUUCGCUGGUGUAUCCCCUAGCUGCCAUAGCUCAUAGUUCCAUGUCCCAACAAUGUCUAAGAGCAAUUUCACUAGGAACCCUUAAAUUAGGGUUCCCACUUUUGAUUCGAGGGUUAUUCAACUUUUAAGUUUUUUUUGCAUCUAUUGUAACAACUCUCAAAUCCAUUUCAGUAGUCACGGAGACACAAACACAUGAGAUUCACUCGCCAUUCUCUUCCUAUGACCAUAACUACCUUCGCUCCAAUCAACUAAGCUAUGACUGACACGGGGUGGAGCAGCAGUAACCUCAUUAGGGAGGGGUUUGUGCCAAGGGCAGAGGAGCCGAUGAUGAGAGAGUAGCCACGUUGGGGACUGACCUUGUAAGAAUAGGGAAGGACCUCACUAGGGGAUGGGACAAGCACUAGGGAGAGGAGUCACGCUAGGGGAUCGAGGAUGGGGUAAUAAGGGUCUCGUUGGGACGGGGAAGGACCUCACUAGGGGACAAGACAGGAGCUAGGGAGAGGAGCCACAACGGGGAAGGAUCUCACACAUAGGCGGACAAACCUCACUGUGAGAGCCACGCUACAAGGAGGGAGACCCCUUAGGAAGGGGCACGCCGCUAUAGGGAGGGGAGUCACACCACUAAGGUGAGGGGCCUCAUCAGGGAGAGCCGCACCAAGGGAAGGACCUCCUAGGGACGGUGGAGCAUGCAAGCAACAUCGGAUGUGGAUAGAUGGACACUAUCCUCUUGCAUGCUAGGAGGAAAACGAUAACAAGUGUCAGUUGAGGGCCUAGAGUAGGGUCCCAAGAAAAUGAGGACUAGGAGGAAAAUUUGAGGGGCCUAUGAGUUUUUUUUUCUAGUCAUCAAAUUUGGUUUUGAGGGGUCAAGUAGGUGUCCUGCUAGAGAAGGCACCUCUAAUAAUAGUGAGAGUUAGAUAUCGACUCUUAGAUCCAUCUCAUUCAUAUGUUUUAUUUAUAUAUUCUCUCGUGUCAAGAGAGAGAGAUAAUUCAAGUCUCUCAUACAUUUUAGUACGUGCAAAGAGCUCGGCUUUUCUCAACUUCUCUCCACGCUAGUUCCACGCUAGUUCAAAGGUUUUUGGCCUCUCUCCCCUUUGUGUGGUAUCUGAUACUAGCUUAGAGCAAGUCCAAGAGAAGAGCUAUCCAUAUCAUGUAUUCUAUAUUUGGCUAUUUUGGGAGAGAAAAGAGAGUCCAACAGCUAUUGUAUUUGGUUUGCUAAAAUAGCAAGUCAUCUAUCCCGGAGUUCUCGUAUGGUAAAUAUAGCUUGCAUGUCCUGCUAGCCAUAUGAUUUGCCGUAUAGAAAGACCGUUGGAGAUUUUUAUUUUUUUACAUGAUUUUCUAUUUUAGAGGUUGGCUAAAUUUUGAAUUUAGCCAUCUAUUUUUAUCAACUCUCUUAGAGUUGCUCUUAGAGUUGUCCAAUAGAGAUGCCCUUAGCUAGCUCCCAAUUUAGAAUAUACCUAGACUAGAUCGAUAUCAGGCUUGAGAACGCAUAAUAGUUAGAUAUUUAUACCUAGUAGAUCGUUGGGUUUUAAACAAUACCAUACCUUUUUUUUGAGGGGAAAACGAUACCAUACGUGAAAUGGCUCACAUGAAUAUUAGGCCCGAAAACGGUUAUUGGCUAAACAGAAUUGGGCCUUAAAUGGGCGAUUAAAACAGCAAUGAUGCCUCCGUAGACUAGGAAUCGCAUAGACAAAAAGCUGUGACAUGCAUAUGCCUCGGGUGGGCUAUAAACAGGCCUGCGAUGCAGGCCUAUACACAGCCCAAUUUUUUUUGUGAACAAUACACAGCCCAAUUUGUGUACGUACAAGUGCCGGUUGCUUUUUCAGUUUCUUGCCCCAUGGGAAGCAUUCCCCAAUCGAAUCAUCACGUACGUACUUGACUCUGAUCCAUCAUAACACUUGGUGUCCACUAUGCACGCUCGUAGGCAUUGUUUACUUCCACCCAAAAUCUAAAAUUUUUUCAAGAUUUCGCGUCACAUCGAAUCUUUAGACGUAUGCAUGGAGUAUUAAAUAUAAACGAAAUUAAAAACUAAUUGCACAGUUUGAUCGAAAUUUACGAGACGAAUCAUUUGAGCCUAGUUAGUCCAUAAUUAAACAAUAAUUAUCAUAAACAAACAAAAGUGCUACAGUGUACCGAAAAAAUUUCGGCAAGGAACUAAACAAGGCCGUAGUAUGCUGUUAUAUGAUGGAAUCUAAAGAGCCCCAUUUUCUCUUUUAUCUUACCCUCCAGAUCGAGGCCACAAAAUCCUAGGUACAGAACAUCGUCUGUCAGAUGCAUCUGGUUGCAGCAAAGAUCCACACACAUUACAUAGAAUACGUGCACAGCACCAAAUGCAUGCAACGGCAACAUAUGCAUGCAGCACAAUUAGUUGUACAGUUUCCAUGAUUUACAAGCAAGUCCGGAUUCUUUUACUUCAGUAAACCAUCCUCAUAUUGCAAUGAUGGCAUGAUGCAUAUAUAGAGCGGGAGUGGUUAAGGUCGAUGAAUAAUGAAUCACUGAUGAAGCAGGGCAGACAAGGACACGGCAGCGGCGGCAGAGGCACACUGAGCCCACACAGAUGAAAUGAGCAAAUAUAUAGUACGUCGCGUGUAUAUGUUACUAUAUCUUAUUACUUGAACACAUCACUCUCAUGACUCAUGGAUGGAAAACAUCAUGCAUACAGUACAAUAUAUAAUGGACACAAAAGCUAGUAGUAUUCAUUAUUCAGGAAACCUGUGUGCUAAAGCAACAAGGUUAAAGGCAAGCAAACCCCCAAGGACGACGUUGAGUGCUGCUUUGCUAGCCUGCUACACACACACACACGUACGAUCGAGGUACACGACGACAGCCACAGCGACGACAGAGUUGGUGUAAACUCAAGGUAGUAAACAGUAAAUACUAAUUAAACGGAGUGAUCACUAACAGGUACGGUGCAUGCAUGAUCUACUCCUUAAUUUAUGUAUCUAUCUCAUUGCAUGCAUCAUCCAUGGAGGGAGUCAUGGACGACAUCUGGUAAAACAACGACGACUGCAUGCUGAUCGCCAUCCAACGAGCAUGCCUCAUGCAUGUCCUUAUGAUCGAUCAUCAGUUGAUCCUGCACGUACAUAACAUGAAAGAUAUCAAAUCAUGGUUAUCACACUCGAUCAUUAGCAGAAAAUCACUCAUAAUCACUGUGCAUUCAUGCAUGCAUGGACGACAUAUUUAAUCAAUUGGACAGGGUGAAAAACUCAGCCUAGGAGGCGUCGUACUUGGAGCAGUCGACGUUGGGACUAAUGGGCACGCCGACGGAGACGCCGCACUUGGAGGGGAUGCUGGCGGCGUUACCCAUGCUGACGCCGCCGCCGCCGCCGAGCCUGCUCGUCAUGCUCUUGAGGCAGGCGCAG